UUGUGGCCAGGACAGCCCUCGGGAAGUCCUGGACACUGAUAAGCCGGUAAUGCAGCCCUACGGAACAACAUUGACGUCC
rnacentral:ncRNA from 1 species